UACGUAGGGUGCGAGCGUUAAUCGGAAUUACUGGGCGUAAAGCGUGCGCAGGCGGCUUUGCAAGACAGAUGUGAAAUCCCCGGGCUCAACCUGGGAACUGCAUUUGUGACUGCAUGGCUGGAGUGCGGCAGAGGAGACUGGAAUUCCUGGUGUAGCAGUGAAAUGCGUAGAGAUCAGUAGGAACACCAAUGGCGAAGGCAGCUUGCUGGCACUGUUUCUGACGCUAAGGCACGAAAGCGUGGGUAGCGAACGGG
rnacentral:rRNA from 1 species